rnacentral:rRNA from 1 species
UACGUAGGGUGCGAGCGUUAAUCGGAAUUACUGGGCGUAAAGCGUGCGCAGGCGGUUCGCCAAGUCAGGUGUGAAAUCCCCCGGGCUUAACCUGGGAAUUGCGCUUGAAACUAGCGGGCUUGAGUGUGGCAGAGGGGGGUGGAAUUCCACGUGUAGCAGUGAAAUGCGUAGAGAUGUGGAGGAACACCGAUGGCGAAGGCAGCCCCCCUGGGUCAACACUGACGCUCAUGCACGAAAGCGUGGGGAGCAAACAGG